AUCCUGUCUGUCUGGGAUCUACCUCUGACGAGAGGUGUUACCUCAGAUUCACUCUGUCUGUGUCGAGAGAAACUUCAGGAAGGAUGAUUAUCCACGCACACCAAGAGUUGCUCAGGGAAUAAGAUAAUAUUUAGAAAACAAACUAUAGUUUACUUAAAGAGAAAGUUUGACUUUUUUCAUUUAAAGGAGUGGGAGUCGAACUUGUUGACGCGGUGGAAGAGGUUACCAGAUAGCCAGACGGACAGCCAGACGGACAGCCAGACAGACAUGGGCUGCUGCUUCAGCGGGACUGAGGGGGACGGAGAGGGGGACGCGAAGCACGGGGGGGACAACGGCUGUAAGACGUGCUGUCUGAAGACCAGAAACUGCCUGAUGAGUGGAGAGUGUGGACGGGCUCUACAGAUAGCCAACGUCUGUGCCAUGUGUGGCAUGUGCAUCCGCAUGUUUGUCUAGCUGCGACUCCAUGAGGUCAGACCUGCUCUCAUUCCCAUGGCAGCUGUACAGAGAGCUGUGAACAAUCGGACAGGUAUGCCACUCUCCCAUGGGUGGGUCACCUGGGAUCCAGCCAGGUUACAAAAGACAGACACACCCUGGACCCGCCCUGUGCCUUACAGCCAAUAGACUCAGUACUCUGGAGCCAAGCAGGAAGGAAUGUGAAGCGUAUCAAGUAACUACUGUCCUUGUGCAAUAAGAAAUACUUGUUUUCCCUCUGUUGUAAAAUAUCUUGAAACGGUGUGCCCUAAUGAACAUCACCCUGUACUGCCUCUGUUUAUCCAGAGCUCCACAGAGCCCCAGCCAGGGAGAGAACAGGCAGUAUGUAUUCACAAACACGAACACAUUGCCACCAAGUAGACUUUUGAGAACUGGAACAUCACGCAGGGAGUCGGGGAAACAAAUUCAUACCGGCGAAGAGACUGUACCACCGGGAACACUCAGAUGUGAGGGAAAUUAUGUUUGUAGUGGAGAGGUGGGGGGGGGAGACCGAUACAGGAGAUGAGAGAGGCGCUAGAGACAACAUUAUUUUUCAUGCCAAAUUCUCAAUAAAACAGUGCUUACAGGAUGACACCAGAAUGUACCAGGUAUAAAAUAUGCUAAUCAUUAUCCUAACAUAGUGGUUUGGAUCGAAAAGGGCUCCUAGGCUGCGUUCCAAAUGGCACCCUAUUCUCUUCACAGUGCACUACUUCUGAUAAGAGGAUGAAACCACUAGAUCAACUGACCAUGCUGAAACCAACCGUUGUCUCUCUCUCUCCUGUGUAUAUACAGUACAUGUCUCUCUCUCUCCUGUAUAUACAGUACAUGUC